UCGAUAGACUUUGUUCAAAUU
rnacentral:piRNA from 1 species